rnacentral:rRNA from 1 species
GAUGAACGCUGGCGGCGUGCCUAAUACAUGCAAGUCGAGCGAACGGACGAGAAGCUUGCUUCUCUGAUGUUAGCGGCGGACGGGUGAGUAACACGUGGAUAACCUACCUAUAAGACUGGGAUAACUUCGGGAAACCGGAGCUAAUACCGGAUGAUAUUUUGAACCGCAUGGUUCAAAAGUGAAAGACGGUCUUGCUGUCACUUAUAGAUGGAUCCGCGCUGCAUUAGCUAGUUGGUAAGGUAACGGCUUACCAAGGCAACGAUGCAUAGCCGAUCUGAGAGGAUGAUCAGCCACACUGGAACUGAGACACGGUCCAGACUCCUACGGGAGGCAGCAGUAGGGAAUCUUCCGCAAUGGGCGAAAGCCUGACGGAGCAACGCCGCGUGAGUGAUGAAGGUCUUCGGAUCGUAAAACUCUGUUAUUAGGGAAGAACAGAUGUGUAAGUAACUGUGCACAUCUUGACGGUACCUAAUCAGAAAGCCACGGCUAACUACGUG